CACCCCGUCCGUUCACCAAUCCGACUGUCGCUUGCUGAAGGCGUUUGGGAGGGAUGGGCGAGUGGCCAACGGCUGUUCGGGGAGUCACGUGGUCAGUUGCCGGCGUCGGGCGGUUGCUGCAGCAACGGUGACGGGAAGCGGCGGUUGCAGAGAGCGAGUAGUAUCCCGAUUCUCGGAGCUCAGCAUCUAAAUGGAAUCUAAAAUGGCUGCUGGGAAUCAUGAUGCCAUUUCUUCAGAAGAGCUUCGGAGGAGACUUUAUCAAACAUUCAAAAAUCGGGGUGUCUUAGAUUCUUUAAAGUCGCAGCUUCGAAAUCAGCUUGUCCAUGAAUUAACGCAUCCUGGUUUAAAUGGACUGUUAUCCGUGAAUGGUCAUCGGCAUCAGAAUCCUUCCACAGAAGAAAGUUCUCUGUUGGUUAUGGCUGCAAAUAGCAUUGUUGCAGACCAUUUAGGAAAGAUUGGAUACGAGUACUCACUGUCUGUUUUUUACCCAGAAUGUGGCUUAGAAAAAG